GGCGCGGAGAGCUCAGCCCGGGCGGCUCGCCGGGCGGGGAGGCGGCAGCGCCCCGGACCCCCCUAGUUCGCGCUAGCCAUUCAAGUUCUCGGGUCCCUGCGCCCGAUCCGGAGGUGGCACCCGCCGCCCGCCCUGCCUCUGUGCCCCGGUUUCCAGCCACCGCGCGGAAAUUUAGGUCAAGGACGCCGGGAGCACACCCACACCCUGCGGUCCCCGAGACCCCGGGAAUCGGAGGGGCUUCGGGAUGGAGGAGACACCCCCACCCCACCCCCCCGCACAAACACCAGCCACAAGUUUUAUUUUCCCUUCGCGCGGCAAGUUCUCUGGCUCCCGCUCCACACCGGGCACGUCCUGCACGGCUCCCCGCCCUUCCCCGGCAGAGUGCUGAGUAUCAAACACAAAACCUCAUGCAUACUUGGCGAAUCCUCUACCGCUCUGCUCCACCCCCAGCCUCUAAGGCCUUGUCUUAGUUUCUUGAUGGCACAGUUAGUUGGACAGAGUUAGAAAUCCUGUGUUCCGGUUGAAGAGGUUUUUACUCCCUUCAUCCCUGUCUGUUCCCCUUCCUCAUCUACACUUUCAAAUGAUAGCACGCAGCCAAGGUGCACCAGCUAGACUGCUCACCAACGCUUCAGCAGGAGGCUGGCUCCCAGAGUAUGGUAGAUACGAGAAUCACACAGGAAGCUUCCGUUCUUAAAAAGAAAGAAGGAAAGAAAGAAAGAAAGAAAGAAAGAAAGAAAGAAAGAAAGAAAGAAAGAAAGAAAGAAAGAAAGACAGAGAAAGAAAGAAAGAAAGAAAGAAAGAAAG